UGGCGAACGGGUGAGUAACACGUGGGUAACCUGCCCAUCAGAAGGGGAUAACACUUGGAAACAGGUGCUAAUACCGUAUAACACUAUUUUCCGCAUGGAAGAAAGUUGAAAGGCGCUUUUGCGUCACUGAUGGAUGGACCCGCGGUGCAUUAGCUAGUUGGUGAGGUAACGGCUCACCAAGGCAACGAUGCAUAGCCGACCUGAGAGGGUGAUCGGCCACACUGGGACUGAGACACGGCCCAGACUCCUACGGGAGGCAGCAGUAGGGAAUCUUCGGCAAUGGACGAAAGUCUGACCGAGCAACGCCGCGUGAGUGAAGAAGGUUUUCGGAUCGUAAAACUCUGUUGUUAGAGAAGAACAAGGAUGAGAGUAAAACGUUCAUCC
rnacentral:rRNA from 1 species